GGGGAUAUGGCGAAAUUGGUAGACGCUACGGACUAAAAUCCGUCGACUUUAAAACUCGUGAGGGUUCAAGUCCCUCUAUCCCCA
rnacentral:tRNA from 1 species